rnacentral:tmRNA from 1 species
GGGGGUGAAUUAGUUUCGACGUAGGUAGGAAGAGCAUUGGAAGCGAGCCGAGAUCCCCAAACCUCGUUAAAUUUGGGACCUAAAAUAAUUGCAGAUAAUAAUUACGCUUUAGCUGCUUAAGAUAGCAGUUACGCCAGUUUGUUCUUUACCUGCGGGAAUAAACCUGGUGUCAACUUAGCAGGUUACUUCAGAGGAAUCGCCCAGCACUCUGGGGGAAUGUAAUGGGCUGGCUAGAACAUAAUCCAGCUACAAGGAGUGUGUUUUGGCGAGAUUCUAAAAUUGUAGCUGCGCUCGGAGAGGCCAAUGUAAUUUCACUUGCGGACAGCGGUGCAACUCCGCUCACCUCCACCA